CCUACGGGGGGCAGCAGUAGGGAAUCUUCCACAAUGGGCGAAAGCCUGAUGGAGCAACGCCGCGUGUGUGAUGAAGGGUUUCGGCUCGUAAAACACUGUUGUAAGAGAAGAAUGACAUUGAGAGUAACUGUUCAAUGUGUGACGGUAUCUUACCAGAAAGGAACGGCUAAAUACGUGCCAGCAGCCGCGGUAAUACGUAUGUUCCAAGCGUUAUCCGGAUUUAUUGGGCGUAAAGCGAGCGCAGACGGUUAUUUAAGUCU
rnacentral:rRNA from 1 species